rnacentral:rRNA from 1 species
UACGUAGGGUGCAAGCGUUAAUCGGAAUUACUGGGCGUAAAGCGUGCGCAGGCGGUGAUGUAAGACAGAUGUGAAAUCCCCGGGCUCAACCUGGGAACUGCAUUUGUGACUGCAUCGCUGGAGUGCGGCAGAGGGGGAUGGAAUUCCGCGUGUAGCAGUGAAAUGCGUAGAAAUGCGGAGGAACACCGAUGGCGAAGGCAAUCCCCUGGGCCUGCACUGACGCUCAUGCACGAAAGCGUGGGGAGCAAACAGG